rnacentral:misc_RNA from 1 species
AAGUCGUAACAAGGUUUCCGUAGGUGAACCUGCGGAAGGAUCAUUAUCAUAAUCCGAAAACUUUUUUUUAAUAUUUCCCCAAAAGGGAUUAUUAAAAAAAUAUCAACCAACCGUGAACUGUUUUGCCUCCAACGAGGAAGGGUUUGAACAUGCAGGUGAUGCUUGCAUUAGUACUUUCUUUGUUGGUUGUAUUUUAAUAUUUUAUUUAUUAACCCUUCUAACAAAAACUUUUUAAACUUAAAAUUUUGAACUGAAUUAAUUUUCUUUUUCCUUUUCAAAAGGAAAAUUAAAAUCAAAAUACGAAAAAUUAAUUAGAACAACUCUUAGCAACGGAUAUCUUGGUUCUC